rnacentral:rRNA from 1 species
AGCAGCCGCGGUAAUUCCAGCUCCAAUAGCGUAUAUUAAAGUUGUUGCAGUUAAAAAGCUCGUAGUUGAAUUUCGGGAUCAAUUAAUUGGUCGUGCCUAUGGUACGUACUGAUUUUUAUUGGUUUCUCCCUUCUGACGAACCAUGAUGUCAUUAAUUUGGUGUCGUGGAGAAUCAGGACUGUUACUUUGAAAAAAUUUAGAGUGUUUAAAGCAGGCUAACGCUUGAAUACAUUAGCAUGGAAUAAUGAAAUAGGACGUUUGAUCCUAUUUUUGUUGGUUUCUAGGAUCGACGUAAUGAUUAAUAGGGAUAGUUGGGGGCAUUAGUAUUCAAUUGUCAGAGGUGAAAUUCUUGGAUUUAUUGAAGACUAACUACUGCGAAAGCAUUUGCCAAGGAUGUUUUCAUUAAUCAAGAACGAAAGUUAGGGGAUCGAAGACGAUCAGAUACCGUCGUAGUCUUAACCAUAAACUAUGCCGACUAGGGAUCGGAUGAUGUUAAUUUUUUCAAUGACUCAUUCGGCGC